GGACCCAUGGUGUAGCCUGGAUAUCACUCUAGCCUCCGGAGCUGGAAACCCGUGUUCGAAUCGCGGUGGGUCCG
rnacentral:tRNA from 2 species